UAUUCAGGGUCAUUUCCUUGUUUCCUUUCUUUAUUUCUUCUAUUUCCAUUUUUAACUCCUUCACCUGUUUGACUAUGUUUUCCUGGAAUUCCUUCAGGGAUUUUUGUGAUUCCUCUCUAUAGGCUUCUACUUGUUUAUUUAUGUUUUCUUGUGUUUCUCUAAGGGAGUUCUUCAUGUCUUUCUUGAAAUCCUCCAGCAUCAUGUUCAAAUGUGAUUUUAAAUCUAGAUCAUGCUUUUUGGUGUGUUGGGAUAUUCAGUGUUUUCUUUGGUGGGAGAAUUGGGCUCUGAUGAUGCCAAGUAGUCUUGGUUUCUGUUGCUUGGUUCCUGUGUUUGCCUCUCGCCAUCAGGUUGUCUCUGUUGUUACCUUGUUCUGCUAUUUCUGACAGUGGCUAGACAGUCCUAUAGGCCUGUCAGGAGUGCUGUAGACCUGUUUUCCUGUUUUCUUUCAGCCAGUUAUGGGAACAGAGUGUUCUGCUUUCGAGCGUGUAGUCUUUCCUGUCUACUGCUCUUCAGCUGUUCCUGUGGGCCUGUGUCCUGAGUCCACAAAGCAAGUUGCUUGGAGCAGAGAAGUUGGUCUUACCUGUGGUCCUGCAGCUCAAGUUGCUCAUGAGGGGCUGCUUUUGAGCUCUUGGAUCCUCCCUCAAUGCAAAGCAGCCCUCAGGCUCAGACUGAAAGCCCAGGCCUACCUGUGGAUCCACAUCUCCUUCUCACUAGAGGCUCCUUCACAGCAUGGCUGCCCUGGUGCUGUUGCUCUGCCUGCUGACAUUUCCAAGCUGUGUCCUGUCCCAGGUGCAGCUGAAGGAGUCAGGACCUGGUCUGGUGCAGCCCUCACAGACUUUGUCUCUCACCUGCACUGUCUCUGGGUUCUCACUAACCAGCUAUCAUGUAAGCUGGGUUCGCCAGCCUCCAGGAAAAGGUCUGGAGUGGAUGGGAGUAAUAUGGACUGGUGGAAGCACAGCAUAUAAUUCACUUCUCAAAUCCCGACUGAGCAUCAGCAGGGACAUCUCCAAGAGCCAAGUUUUCUUAAAAAUGAACAGUCUGCAAACUGAAGACACAGCCACUUACUACUGUGCCAGAGACACAGUGAGAGAAGUCCAGUGUGAACUUGCACAAAAACUUCCCUACAGGGAUUCUUAGGACCAGCAGGGGGCACUGAGGAUCAACAAGUUCUUUCCAGGAUCACUUCAGAUUUUAGAAAGCUCUGGCUUAUGAUGUUUAAGCAUGGGUUUUAAUAUUAAAGAUAUGGACUCUUUUUCCAGCCAUGGAAAUUCUCUAGAACAUACUCUUCAGUGUCAUAUUCUAUUAAACUUCUUGUUUCUUCACACAA